CAGAAAAUAAUUUAAAAAAAAUAUUAAACUUGGAGUUUAAAAAUAGAUUUAUAAUUUUCUUUUUCUGA
rnacentral:tRNA from 1 species